UCCUGUGCACCCAAGAGCCAAACAACUUUUGUGUGGGAACAAACACACAGUUCAGGGGAUAUGGAAGGAAAAUGUGACACAUUUCAAUUUAAUUAAACAGCCAGCCCACAUAUUAUACGGAACUGGCUAACAGGCACUGGCGCGUGUCGUGAUCGAAACAUUUUAAUGUGGAGUGGGGAAUUUCGAAUGCCUCGAGGCAACACAACCCAAAACUUGUAGCCUGACCACAAAAACUCAUCAUAACGGUGGGUUGUAUGUCUAACGGAAUGGCUCAAAAGCUCUAGCCAGCAUUUGUUGUUUCCCGGGCAACAGACACAGGAUACGACAUCCCAGAUGCCCAGAUAGGUGCAAGUGCAUCAGUCUCGUCUUCCAGCUCGUGCGUAAAGCCAGGUGGACCACAAAACAGCACGACCAGAGUUCUUCCGGAGCAGUGCCACCGUGGGAAAUUUGUAGUGAAAUUAGUAGUGCUUCCAUGACAGCAUUGGAUGUGCGGGCCGGCAGUCUCGGAGUGCCCGUUUGCAUGGUUGGCUUCCAAUAUGAGUGCGGAAUUGACUUUUGCCGGAGUUUUCACAACAUUUGCGUGAAGCCCAUACAUAAGAGCAACUUGAACUGGAAGAGACCCCGGCUGAAGAGAACGAGGGGAGAGUGGGAGCAAGUCGCUCACGCUUCACAGCACAACGACAGCUGCCGAUUAACACAAGGCGACAGUCGUCAGAGCACGUCAUAGCACGUCCGAUAUAUGGCCCAGUCGACAUGUAUAUGUACAUAUAUAUAUUGUAUAUGUAGGCACAAUACGAACACAACACGAAUACCGGUUAGAUAAUGAGCAGUAAAUUACUCAUUGACUGA